rnacentral:rRNA from 1 species
UACGGAGGAUGCAAGCGUUAUCCGGAAUGAUUGGGCGUAAAGGGUCCGCAGGUGGCAAUGUAAGUCUGCUGUCAAAGAAUGAGGCUUAACCUCAUCAAGGCAGUGGAAACUACAUAGCUAGAGUACGGUCGGGGUAGAAGGAAUUCCUGGUGUAGCGGUGAAAUGCGUAGAGAUCAGGAAGAACACCGGUGGCGAAAGCGCUCUGCUGGACCUUAACUGACACUGAGGGACGAAAGCUAGGGGAGCGAAUGGG